UAAGAAUUUAAAAGUCGAACAGACUUAUUUCUAAGAAGACUGCUUCUUGGAAUUUUCUUAAUUCAACAUCGAGGUCGCAAAAUACAAUAUAGAUAUGAACUCCCCAUCAAAAUUACGCUGUUAUCCCUAAGGUAACUUAAUCUUAUUUCCUAUCUAUAUUAUAAGGAUCUAAAAUUACAUAAAUAAAUGAAUUUUAAAACUAAAGUUAAAUAUUUAGUCACCACCCCAGCAAAAUAUAGACUUAAAAUUAAAAAUGUUAAUUAAUAAAACUUAGUAAUAUGAGCCUAUAUAAAGUUCUAUAGGGUCUUAUCGUCCCAAUAAAUUAAUAAAGCAUUUUAACUUUAAAUUUAAAUUUUAACAUUUAAAAAAAUAAAAUAUAAUUCUCAUACAUCCAUUCAUUCAAGCUUUCAAUUAAAAAACUAAUUACUAUGCUACCUUUGCACAGUCAAAAUACUGCAGCCAUUUAGAAAUUUUACCAUAGGGCAGAAGAUACUUUUUAAAAAAACA
rnacentral:rRNA from 1 species